AGGGCUAUAGCUCAGUUGGUAGAGCGCCUCGUUUACACCGAGA
rnacentral:tRNA from 1 species